UUUACAAUGGAGAGUUUGAUCCUGGCUCAGGAUGAACGCUAGCGGCAGGCUUAAUACAUGCAAGUCGUGGGGCAGCGCAGGUAGCAAUACUGGGCGGCGACCGGCAAACGGGUGCGGAACACGUACACAACCUUCCGAG
rnacentral:rRNA from 1 species